UACGUAGGGUGCAAGCGUUGUCCGGAAUUAUUGGGCGUAAAGAGCUCGUAGGCGGUCUGUCGCGUCGGCUGUGAAAACCCGGAGCUCAACUCCGGGCCUGCAUUCGAUACGGGCAGACUAGAGUAUGGCAGGGGAGACUGGAAUUCCUGGUGUAGCGGUGAAAUGCGCAGAUAUCAGGAGGAACACCGGUGGCGAAGGCGGGUCUCUGGGCCAAAACUGACGCUGAGGAGCGAAAGCGUGGGGAGCGAACAGG
rnacentral:rRNA from 1 species